UUCUUACUUGGCACAGAUUCACGUGCCUAAACGUGUCAAACACUGUGGGCGUCCUAAAGGUUCUACUUUAACUACUAUUGGUCUACCUAAAAAACGACAACGUCAGUUGCAUGAAGGGCUAGUACCUUUUUUAAAACUUCAUCCGUCUAAAAGACAUGCUAGUAUGUAUAACCAAUUUUGUAGACUGCAACUUGUAGUUUACUUUAUUGAUUGGUAUUUUUUAAGUUUAAUGUACUAGCUAAAUUUUUAUUUCCGGCUAAUUAAAUAAUACUGACUAUAUAUUUUUUUUGUAGUGAUUCUGGGUUGGUUUUUGAAACCAGAUGAUGUCCAGAAAGCUCUUUCUGGCAUUCUUAUACAGAGUAGUUGUAUAGAAAAAAGAGUGAAUUGUAUUUCUUCAGCUAUUCUUGAUGAAAGUGCUCUAGGAUCUCUUUUGUCUCUGCAAUCAUAUUUUACUGCAGAUGGAUGGAAAGUGCUCAAUGAAAUAAUUGAUGUCAAGUGUCAGCAACGAAUUUGGCCUUGUGCUUUGUGCCAAAAAAGCACUUCUGUGGGCAAUGACAUUGGGGGCUCAAUAGCAUGUGAUUCCUGCCCUUUGUGGUUUCACAAAAAAUGUGUUGACAAGAAAGAGGGUUGGUUUAUAAAAUCAAAAUACUGGUUUUGUCGUUUUUGUUCAACUGUUUGAUUGGAAAUUAUACAUGCCUUUGUUUUAUUUGAUGAGUUUAUGGGACGCAUGAACACUCUGGCUUCUAAGAUGCAUGCUGGGAGUUAUUGUUGAGUAAUAAUUUAUUUUACCAAAACAAAGGCUGAAAAUUGUGUAUGCACUGUACCAUUUUUAUCACAAACUGGUUGAGUUAUAUGUACUGAAUCUUUUAUGUUUUGAAUAUA